rnacentral:rRNA from 1 species
GAGUUUGAUCCUGGCUCAGAAUCAACGCUGGCGGCGUGCCUCAGACAUGCAAGUCGAACGCGAAAGUCCCCUUCGGGGGACAAGUAGAGUGGCGCACGGGUGAGUAACACGUAGGUAAUCUACCUUCGGAUGGGGAAUAACAACCGGAAACGGUUGCUAAUACCGCAUAAUGCAGCGGCACCUAAUGGUGACAGUUGUUAAAGCGGGGGAUCGUAAGACCUCGCGUCUGAAGAGGAGCCUGCGGCGGAUUAGCUAGUUGGUAAGGUAACGGCUUACCAAGGCGACGAUCCGUAGCCGGCCUGAGAGGGCGGUCGGCCACACUGACACUGACAUACGGGUCAGACUCCUACGGGAGGCAGCAGUCGGGAAUUUUGGGCAAUGGGCGAAAGCCUGACCCAGCAACGCCGCGUGAAGGAUGAAAUCCCUCGGGAUGUAAACUUCGCAAGAACGGGAAGAAUAAGUCUGCGCGAAUAUCGCAGACGAUGACGGUACCGUUUGUAAGCUCCGGCUAACUCCGUGCCAGCAGCCGCGGUAAUACGGGGGGAGCAAGCGUUGUUCGGAUUUACUGGGCGUAAAGGGCGCGUAGGCGGCCAGCACAAGUCAGUUGUGAAAUCUCCGAGCUUAACGCGGAAAGGUCAACUGAUACUGUGCGGCUAGAGUGCAAAAGGGGCAACUGGAAUUCUCGGUGUAGCGGUGAAAUGCGUAGAUAUCGAGAGGAACACCUGCGGCGAAGGCGGGUUGCUGGGCUGACACUGACGCUGAGGCGCGAAAGCUAGGGGAGCGAACGGGAUUAGAUACCCCGGUAGUCCUAGCCUUUAACGAUGAAUGCUUGGUGUCUGGGGGUAUAUAGUCCCCGGG